rnacentral:rRNA from 1 species
UGAGGAAUAUUGCGCAAUGGGCGAAAGCCUGACGCAGCCACGCCGCGUGGAGGAAGACACCCCUAUGGGGCGUAAACUCCUUUUAUGUGAGAAGAAGGCCCUAGUCGCUAGGGUUUGACGGUAUCACAUGAAUAAGCACCGGCUAACUCCGUGCCAGCAGCCGCGGUAAUACGGAGGGUGCAAGCGUUGUCCGGAUUCACUGGGUGUAAAGGGUGUGUAGGCGGAGCAGCAAGUCAGUGGUGAAAGCCUGCGGCUUAACCGUAGAACUGCCAUUGAUACUGUUGUUCUUGAGUACUGGAGAGGCUACUAGAAUUCGUGGUGUAGCGGUGAAAUGCGUAGAUAUCACGAGGAAUACCAGAGGCGUAGGCGGGUAGCUGGACAGAUACUGACGCUGAGGCACGAAAGCGUGGGGAGCAAACAGGAUUAGAUACCCCCGUAGUCC